GAGCUUGCUCCUUUGACGUUAGCGGCGGACGGGUGAGUAACACGUGGGCAACCUACCUUAUAGUUUGGGAUAACUCCGGGAAACCGGGGCUAAUACCGAAUAAUCUGUUUCACCUCAUGGUGAAAUAUUGAAAGACGGUUUCGGCUGUCGCUAUAGGAUGGGCCCGCGGCGCAUUAGCUAGUUGGUGAGG
rnacentral:rRNA from 1 species